GGGCCGUUAGCUCAGCUGGGAGAGCGCCUGCUCGACAAGCAGGAGGUCACUGGUUCGAGCCCAGUACGGCCCA
rnacentral:tRNA from 2 species